rnacentral:rRNA from 1 species
GAUGAACGCUGGCGGCGUGCCUAAUACAUGCAAGUCGAGCGAACGGACGAGAAGCUUGCUUCUCUGAUGUUAGCGGCGGACGGGUGAGUAACACGUGGAUAACCUACCUAUAAGACUGGGAUAAGUUCGGGAAACCGGAGCUAAUACCGGAUGAUAUUUUGAACCGCAUGGUUCAAAAGUGAAAGACGGUCUUGCUGUCACUUAUAGAUGGAUCCGCGCUGCAUUAGCUAGUUGGUAAGGUAACGGCUUACCAAGGCAACGAUGCAUAGCCGACCUGAGAGGGUGAUCGGCCACACUGGAACUGAGACACGGUCCAGACUCCUACGGGAGGCAGCAGUAGGGAAUCUUCCGCAAUGGGCGAAAGCCUGACGGAGCAACGCCGCGUGAGUGAUGAAGGUCUUCGGAUCGUAAAACUCUGUUAUUAGGGAAGAACAUAUGUGUAAGUAACUGUGCACAUCUUGACGGUACCUAAUCAGAAAGCCACGGCUAACUACGUG